AACGAACGCUGGCGGCAUGCCUAACACAUGCAAGUCGAACGAAGUCUUCGGACUUAGUGGCGCACGGGUGCGUAACGCGUGGGAAUCUGCCCUUGGGUGCGGAAUAACUUCUCGAAAGGGAUGCUAAUACCGCAUAAUGUCGUAAGACCAAAGAUUUAUCGCCCAAGGAUGAGCCCCGCGUAAGAUUAGCUAGCUGGUGGGGUAAAAGCCUACCAAGGCGACGAUCUUUAGCUGGUCUGAGAGGAUGAUCAGCCACACUGGGACUGAGACACGGCCCAGACUCCUACGGGAGGCAGCAGUGGGGAAUAUUGGACAAUGGGCGAAAGCCUGAUCCAGCAAUGCCGCGUGAGUGAUGAAGGCCUAGGGUGU
rnacentral:rRNA from 1 species